rnacentral:rRNA from 1 species
UACGGGGGGGGCAAGCGUUGUUCGGAAUUACUGGGCGUAAAGGCUCGUAGGCGGCCAACUAAGUCGGAUGUGAAAUCCCCAGGCUUAACCUGGGAACUGCAUCCGAUACUGGAUGGCUUGAAUCCGGGAGAGGGAUGCAGAAUUCCAGGUGUAGCGGUGAAAUGCGCAGAUAUCAGGAGGAACACCAGUGGCGAAGGCGCCGCUCGUGGGCCGUGACUGACGCUGAGGAGCGAAAGCGUGGGUAGCAAACAGG